rnacentral:rRNA from 1 species
GAUGAACGCUGGCGGCGUGCCUAACACAUGCAAGUCGAGCGAACGGACGAGAAGCUUGCUUCUCUGAUGUUAGCGGCGGACGGGUGAGUAACAUGUGGAUAACCUACCUAUAAGACUGGGAUAACUUCGGGAAACCGGAGCUAAUACCGGAUAAUAUUUUGAACCGCAUGGUUCAAAAGUGAAAGACGGUCUUGCUGUCACUUAUAGAUGGAUCCGCGCUGCAUUAGCUGGUUGGUAAGGUAACGGCUUACCAAGGCAACGAUGCAUAGCCGACCUGAGGGGGUGAUCCGCCACACUGAAGCUGAGACGCGGUCCAGCCUCCUACGGGAGGCAGCGGUAGGGACUCUUCCGCACUGGGCGGAAGCCUGCCGGAGCAACGCCGCGUGAGUGAUGAAGGUCUUCGGCUCGUAAAACUCUGUUAUUGGGGAAGAACAUAUGUGUAAGUAACUGUGCGCAUCUUGCCGGUACCUAAUCAGAAGGCCCCGGCUACCUCCGU